AGUCCGGUGCUUAAACAAACAAAAAAGUAAAGUUAAUAAAAAUGAAGUACCCCUCCUUUUCCUUAGCUCACUACUGCUCCCCUAGUCCUUCUAAUCCCAUUCCCCCUGCCUCUUUCAUUUCCCCAACUAGUUAACUUCAAUCCCUUUUUAAGAUGAUAAAGGGUGUGCUGGCCUCAAUUUCAGGCUUAAAUCUGUUUUCGUUAUUGAACUGUUGGAAUUCUGCUCCUCUCUCUCUCUAAGUAAUUUAUCAGUCUGUCUCAUACUAGGUGCUCAGUAAACGUUUGUCAAAGAAUGAACAAAUACCCUCAAAACCAUUAUAGCUGAGCUUCAAAUACAACUCCACCCACGCAUGCGCGGAGACAGAGCCCGGGACACUCCUAGAGCAGCUUCUCACUGGGCCCCACAGGGGCCACGGCGAGAACUCAAAGUCUCUCGACCCGACCCCGGCAUGCGCUGAGGCAGCGCCACAUGCCGGGCCUUCCCCACCGCCUUAGCUGCUAGGAUCCACAAGAGAAGAGGGGCACCUACAAAGCCUAACCAGAAGUCCUUCCCAGAGACAGCAGCCUACACAACCAGACGGUGGAAAGAAGAGAGAGAAAUAGAGGACCUCCGGGGCUAUGCCUUUAUAAAGGUAGAAAUGCGUGUCAAAAAAAGUUAAAAGCUAAUGUCCUAUAGUUUUGUACUCAUUUUAGCACUUAAGUAAUGACUGCCUCUUCCUGAGCCCCUACGGUCUUUAUGAACUUAGGUGAGUUAUUAAAUUCCUCUAAGCCUUUGUUUUCUCAUCUGCAAAAUAUAACUAAUAAUGGUACAUUACAUAAGACAUAGUGAUUGUAUCAUUUUUGUGAGAAGGGUUUUAUAAGAGAUAAAAUGCUAUUCAAAUAUGUGUUGACAUCUUGACAGCAGACAGUAACUCAUUGUUGUAUCCCAGUACUUUUCACAGUAGCUAGCAAAUAGAAGAUGUUCAAUAAAUGUAUGAAUAAGUGAAUGAAUGAAGUUCGGUCUCUAUAUCAUUAACAUUUUUAUGGGAAAGAGCAAGAUGUGGUAAAAAACAUAGAUCCUCAUAAGUAGAAAGAACUGAGUCACCUUGCUCCAUCUCUGGGGCUGUGAUUUUUGAAAAAGUCAUUCAUUUGUGCCAAGCUCAGUUUCUUCUUCUUUAUAUUGGGCAUUAUAAAAUCAUUUUUCUAUCCUACCUCACAUGGUUAUUUUGAGAAUAAAAUAAAUAUGAAAUAUGUCAUGAACUUUAAAGAAAACUCUAUGCUAGCAUUGGUUAUUUCUUGUGGUUACAUUAUCUUCUCCUGCUAAAUUGCAUUCGAUUAGAAGGGAAUGUCCCUCACUAUCUUAUGCUUUUAUCGUAUUCCCUUCAGUGUCUAAUACAAUGCUUUAUAUAUAAUGAGUUGGAGUUUUGUUUUUUUUUUUUAAAGUUUAUUAAGUAGUGGUGACCUUCUGUUUUCAAGGCUACCCUUCCUUUUCAGCAGAAACAUGGUGAUGUUUGAGGGGUUUCAACCAGUGCCAACUUGUGUGCCCCCAAGCAUUUUUUGUCAGUAAAAAGGAAAAGCAUGAACUGGAGAGGAUCUUGAUUUAUACCUGCCUAGGCAAUCAACCUGCCACCCACAGAAGUGUUAGAAGUCUGGCAGUUAAUCAGCAAAGCAAUUUUUGUGCUUUAUUCUUUAUUGUUGAUCUUUCGAGUUUGUCCCGUAAUGGUUCUUCUUAGUCAUUCUGUUCAACAAUAAAAGCUCUGUGGAUAGGAACUUUGUAUCUCUACAUUUCCAGUGAGAGAAAAGUGCCUGUUAUAUUUCAAGCACUCAAUAAAUACUUACUAGAUGAAGGAAAUAACUCAUGAAAAUUAAGGAUAUGUGUACUCUUACAAAAACUUGCGAGAUAUACCCGACCAUUAAUUUUAUUUAUUUUUUUUUUUUUUGGUAAAAGUUUUCCCCAAUUUCCUUCUUUAUAGAAUGAAAAAACUAAAGUUUGUGUUGAAUUCUUUUCUAGUGUUUUAAGCUCCUUACUUCAGAUUACAUUGCAGUUUCCCUCCUGUGUUUAUGGGUAUAUAUAUUUGUUUUAAAUGUAUAUAAAUAAUUGCCAUCCUUUUGAUUAAAACCCAGUCUUAUCUAAGCUCCUGUUUUUCUGAAGACUAUCAUUUUAUGUUUGAGGAAAAGAAAAAACAAUUAUUGUGUAUUUGAACAUAUAUAUAUUUAUUCUCAAGGAUAUGCCUUUCUUUGAACUAAUUACAUUGUUUUUCCAAAUAUAUAACCCAAGAAAGUAUUUUAUACCCAAACCAGAGAGAUUGUAGAAUUAAUUUUAAAAUUUGACUAUUUGACACGAUAUACUUACUUUCAGAAAUUGAAUCAGAAAUUUGAAGAUUAGAAAAAUAAUCACAUUUUCUGUGCUAUUUAAAUUUGCUUUCCCUACAAGGGUUAAGUUGACCUAUAAAAAAAAGUGCAUUCCCUAAGACUCAGAUUUUAGGUGCAUUUUUUUCUCAUUCUCCUAAAUAGCACUUUUCUGAAGCAAUGGAGGAAUAUUAUCUCGUUAAGGCUUAUAGAGUAAGAAUACCAGAGAGGCCAGGGUUGUAUCCAGUUGCUCAAUCAACGGAAUAGGUUCCUUUCUCAUUUCUCACCCUGACUACCUCCUGGGGUUCAAUUAAUGAAAAGUGAAGUGGCCAAAAGGCAAACAAUAAGUAAUGAGGAGAGGUAAAGUCCUGGAUAAAGAGAACUAGAAAAUUAGAUCCUAGAUAGUCAAGAGUUGAUAUAAAAUAGCUCUUUUCACAAGGGACUUCAAAUUGCUGUCUCUUUGCCAGACUGGAGAGUUCAACUUGUCAAGAUCAGUUGUUUUCAUGCAGAUGAUAUAACCUGACAGCUAGCAACAUGCAGAGGUCUGGUGGGCAAGCCAAGAAAUUUAGGAACACAGAUGCUUUCCCCUUAAAGUGAGUCUUUGAAAUUCUGAAUGCUGGGCGCUUCAUUUUUCAUCAUUCCACACCUAUGCCAAGUUUCAAGAUUGGCUUUGAUGUGUAUCUAAAGUGGCUUGGCACACUGCUGUCGUCAUUCCCUGGAUCUGUCCUACUCUGUGAAACUGUGAUAUGAUCAUUACUGUCCCACGUGAGGAGACCAGCUGUGCAGACAACCACAGUGAUGUCCUUCUACAAUUUUUGUGUGGCUGAUGGGUUAUGCUGAUGACUACUGGUGGGUACAAUGUGAAUGGAUAAGAAUUACACAUUUAUGAAUCAUAUAGGAGUUAUGCAGCUAUCCUACCUCUAAGCCAUAGACCUUCAACCUUAGGGUUUUAGUUCUGGAGUAUUAUUCUCACCAAAGAUUACAAUGGCAGCCAACCUUAAGAGCUGCGAGAUUCAAAUGCUCUCUUUUUCUAAGGUUGAGGAAUAAGCUUAGCAUAGUAUAUAUGUGUUCUAGAUAAUUCCUUUUGGUGAGCAUUAUCAUAUUUGAUGAGUCAUUGUUUUCAGUUAAUUUUUAGUGGACUUAUAGACUAUCUGAUUUCUUCCUCCAACUAAUAUCCUACUCCAAAGUUUGAGUGACAUUUUUGAAACAAACUAUCAAAUAGAAAUUAAUGUAUUAAUGUAUAGUUAAUCAUUCACCAAUUGCUGCAUAUUUUAAUAACAUGGUUGUUAUUAAAACAUCUAACAACAUUAAUAACAAAACAAACAGCCAAUGCCUAUUGCCCACUCUAGAAUAUAAAAAUGUGAAAAUUUCUCAGAAGCUAUAGGAUUCUAUAGGAAACAUUUCCCCUGUUUUUCACCUGCUACAUGAUGAUACUGCUCAAAAAAAAGUCAUCUCAGUUUUUGUGUCCUUUUUGGCUUAAUUUAGGUCCAUUUGUUUCUUGAAGUACCUUAGGGUAAGACAGUUAAAGCUCUCAGAAUUCCUCCCAAAUUUGUCAGUUUCAUAUUCUCAUCUCAAGUAUAAAAUGAAGUGAGAAGAUAAUGCUGAACGGGAAAGCAUCUCAAUAUCUACAUUUUACAAAUGAACAAAACAAGAGAGAUUCUGUAAUAUGCCUACUAAAUGCAAUAUAUUGUUCCAGAUGUUGCAAAGAGAGGUAAGCCCAAGGGUGAUCUAUGUGGAUUACAUUUACCAGCUCCCAAGUCCCUGUGGCCUCCAGAUGAGGUCACCCAAUGGGGCGCCCUGGCGGGAGAUCAACUGGAAGAAGGAAGGAGAAUGACAAGGUUGUUAUUCCCCUGGCUCCCUUGUUUUGCAGGUUCCUCUGACUGACUCAGCUCAACCACAGCCUACUACUUCUCUUAAUGUGCCCUGACCUUCCAGGUUUCAAUAACCUCAUCCUUCUCUCAUUUUUCAGGGCCUGGUUUGGUGACAGCUUUGCUGUUGCUGGCCCUGGGCUUCUGCACUUUACCUUAUGCUUUCCCCAUCCAGGCUUUUAUGAUUAGUUUCUUUGUAAGUAAAUCCUCCUUCACUUAUUUUCAGUGUGUCUUCUGUUUCCGUUUGGGAUGCUAACUAAUACAGAGAUGUCAACUCAGAACUCAGGAAGUUUACAAUGUAGCUGAAUUUUCCAAGGCCCUUUAGGAGAGCAGACUUGAGAUUAGCAUUCAGGUCUCCUAACUUCUGACUGGGAGUUUGUUUAAAUACCCUAUAUGGCUCAUAAAACAGCUUCAACAGACCCAGCAAAUGGGCAGGUAUGUAUAGUUUGGUAGAUAGAAAAAUUUUUCUUAAUUUACUGCUAUUUUUUAAAAAGUAGUAAAAUGUAUAUAAAAGAUGCUACUGUAUGUAUAUAAAAGAUGCUCCCAGAUACAGUAGCAAAAUUCUAUGGGGUAGAAUAGAAUUUGGCUACUGUAUCUGGGAACAGAUUUGAAGCUGUUUAUAUAGUGUUUCUGCAGUCUCACCAUUUGCCCUUGCCUUACUCCCAACCUGUUUGUCUGAAUAGGUACUGAGUUUGCAAACCUUGUCUUUGGUGUGUUUUCUUUUCCAGAGAUAUUUUUAUUUGAGAGGGAUAAAAAAUGUUAAAUAAUGGAAAUAAUCUUCUGAUAAUAGAAUAUAAGAUAUCAAUAGAUACAAGAUAUCUGGAGUGUUUUGUUUUUGUUUUUUUAACCAGGAAAAGGGAACAGCAGGGCUUCUGAUAGCCUUGAAAUUACACAGUGUUUGAAGGUUCUAUUCUGGCAGCAGUCCCAAGGUUCCAGUGAAACCAAGAUGAAAGUCAUCUCUAUCUGCCUCUGAGGGAAGAAAACAUAUUCUAACCAGAGAAAGCUAUUCUCUAGCACUGAGGAUCCUAAGUCACCUCCCCACUGAACUCCUUCUGGGUUUCUACAAGAAUUCCAUCAAAACUUGCCAUGCAUUUCAUUUUUUAUUAGGACUAUAUGGCUACAGGAACCCUAUAAAUGCUAAAUUUAGGAGUGAAUUGCCAUUUUAUCUUAAGUAUUUUCACAAGUUUAAUAUAAAUGAUACUUAUUCUAAAAAUAAUGAAUUAUAUUUUGAUACCUAAAAUUUCGUGAAGGCUACAAGAAAAACUUACAACAUACUAAAUUUAAGCUUUCAAAAGCUUUAAUUUUAUUCAGCAGUUUGGUAGUUUCCUGAUUUUGCUACUACUAAAUAUUAUUCUCUCUACUCACACUCCUUAGUGUGACCAUUGCCCUGAGUGUUUAUUAAAAACAUCAUGCUCAAUACACAGUAGUGAUUUAUAGAGUAUGUGAGAUUGCAAGAUCUCCUGGUAAAACCUUACUCAUUUGAUAUUAGGCAGGAAUUAAUUAAGAUUUGCUGUUGUAUUUUAUACAUACAUCCUAAUUUUGAUUGCUUUUCAUAAAAUAUACAAUAAAAUAAGCCUGACUAUCAAUGUAUUGCCAAAUAGUAGUUGUUUGUAACUAGCAUAAAUUAAUAAAUACAAAUGAUCUGUAACUAAAAUAUUAACUAUCCUGCAAAUAGAUAUUUUCGAAUGUUUCAUGUCCAUUUUUGGCUUAGGUCUAGCAUAUGAUAUAUGUUAUUUAUUUGCAUAUGUGCUAUUAAUUUUUCUUUCAUUCUUUCUAUUGAUAUAUGUCUCUAAGUAUCUAAUCUAUCCAUAAAUAUCAAUAUACCUAUAUCUAUUCAUCUGUCUAUGUAUCUGUAUAAAUAUCUAUCUAUCAAAUCACUUGAAAAAGCCCUCCAUCUGGCCAAAAUAAAUUAGAUAAGCAAAUCCUUUCAUGGAUAGAUAUUAUGAGUGUAAACUAGAGAUAAGACCUGCUAAAGUUAUCAAAAUCUGCCAUUUUGAAAUGAUAGUUACUAAGGUGAUAAAAUUAUGAACAGUUUAUCAGAUUGGAACAUGUGAGUUAACUGAAAAAAAACUUGAAAUACAAUUAACAAUUUGGGCACAGUGCAUUUUAGCAUUUAAAAAUGAUAACUACCAGCUACUCUUUCUGAUGGCUUUUAAUUUUUACCCCACUGGGAGACUAAUUUUAUUCUAGGCCUAUCUUGCUGAUUGUUAACUUUUUCCUGCCAUCUGUUGUUAAAUACAAUGCCAUGAGUGCAUCCUUAAUGUAGCAUGGCCUGAAGUGGCUCAGUAAAUUGAAUGUGAUCGUGAGAAAUAAAUUCAAUUCUUGAUUUAUGAGAGUUUUUUAAUCCAUUUCAUUUUUCUUAGUAUAUUAUGAACUAAUACACUAUUAACAAUCAAAUCAGUGAAGGUGUUAGCAUUUUAUUACUGCCAAAAGCUUUUUUCAAUGUUUUUUAAGUAAAAGGCAAUGACAUAGUCUUCUUGAGUAUGAAAAGCUAUUUGUCAUAUCAAAUCCUUUUUAUGCCUCAGAUCUUAGGACACUAAGAAACUAUCUCUAAGGCCUUCUAUAGAAGAUGCUAUCUUAUUGAAAAGGAAGAAAUGACUAUAAGUGUCUUAAGUUUUCUAUUAUCUUAAAUAUCACAUACUGAGAAUGAGCAAGUUAAAUAGACAUAUAAAACAACACAUUUUUGGUAUAUAUUCAACCUGUGGUAUAAUUAUUAUGAAUUUCCCAUGUAUUAAUAUGAUGACAUAAUAUGAAAUAAUUUAAGAUCUUACUUAUUAAGAUGGAACAAUAAAUUAAUGGCAGACUGAUUUGUUUCUUUAAUGGUAUAAUAGCAUUAUUAUAAAAUUUGGAGUUUUUUAUCUUUUAUCUUUCUAUAUGUUGAGACUUUUGUAUGUCUCAUAGAGAAUGGACAAUUUUAAUAUUCUUAUUUAGCUUAGUAUGUUGUGUAUGAUAGAUGUGAUUUUUAGACUUGUAAUUACAAAAAUCUAUACAAAAAUGUACUAACGAGUCCUCCAUGUUCAGCAUCCCAAAAGGGAAAACCCAGGAAAUUUUGUCAAUACAUAACCAAGCCUUGUUGGUUUUCUUCAUUUGGAGUGAUGGAAUUAAUAAUUUGAUUGAAUUGACACGUCAGUCAUUUAACUAUAUAAUCAUGUUCAAGACUGUGAUAAUGUUGCUUAAUAUAACAACAUGGCAAAAUUGAAAACACUGAAAAAAAUUUUUUGUCCUCUUUAUUAUUUACAUUUUAUUUUUUUGGUUGAGAGGGUACCAUAUAAUAUGUAGUGUUCAAAAUUCCCCAACAUAAGAUAUAUCUUCAUAAUUCUUUCCUUUCUCUAAAUUAGCUGUACAUUGAGAUCACCUGGAAAACUUAAAAAACUGUUGAUAUCUAUGAUCUACCCCAAGAAAUUCUGAUGUAAUUUGGAUGAAAGCCUGGGCAUUGGGUCUUAUAAUAUUUCCCCCAGGUGAUUAUAAUGUGCGGCAGACUUGGCAACCACUGGUAUAUAUGAAUUUGAUAUUCUCAUUACAAUUCACUGCUGGAUUGCCACCCAACUUUUUUCAACCAUCCCAUUUACUGAAGAGAUGAUCUCCCUGUCUCUGUCUCUCUCUCCUGCUUACUACAGAUAUUUCUGUCAAAGCUUGAAUGUGACUUAGCAAAAAAAAAAGCAGUUACUCUUACACAUUUAUUCUAUAAAUUUUGGAAACAUGUAGCUUUUUAUACAUGUUAGAGGCAAGGACAAUAACUUUUAGCAGUAUUUAUUUUUGUUAAACCAAUGGAAAUG